CAGUGGACCCAGUAAAUGGGACUGGCUGUUGCAACCUGCUGGUGGCACUUGAGACAAGCUGUGGGGCAGUGGGAGCCCACUGUGGGGAGUGGGAAAUAGCUCUGGGCUCCCCAUGAAGUCAAUACCUGGCAGCAGCUUCACUGCAGGCACAGCACAACCAAGUCCAGCUCCUGCACUUCCCAACUGCAUCAUCAUAGGCUUCAGCACUGGACCAAUCCUGAAGGGGAAAAUGAAGGUCUCUGCAAUGAAGGAGCCAAACGUCUUCUGUUCCUUGCAGUAGAAAUGGCAAACAUCCAUGAGCAGAGAUGGCCGGGGUCUCCAGCCCUGGCUGGCUGUUACAAUGAGGAAUCAAAAUCUACCAGCAGGCAACAGGCAGGCACUCUCCUCAGGAAGUAACUCAGCACUCGGAUGCUUCUUCUGAAGAUUGUGUGCCUGAACUUCCCCUUUCAAGGGCUGCUUAUCUUAUCAGCUGGGUUAAAGCGCAUUCACCAUGAGCAUCCAGGGAAAGAAGUUUUCUGCUGACCUGUGAUCAAGGGAAAUGAAAGAUGAGAGAAGAUAAAUCAAAUCUGCUUCUUGUCUAUUCUUGUCUAUCCAACUCUUGCUCCACAUGCAAUGAUAAACUUUCAGGCCAAAUAAAGGAAAAUCUGAAGCAAGCCUAAGGAAGACCAAGGAAGUGCCUGAGGAAGAUCUCCCUUUGGCAACAGGUCUCAUGGUCUGAGAAAAAGACAGCAGACAAAAAUGCAUUUUUUUGGUAACUGCGAAGAAAGGCAGAGAGUUUUCGAACAGCACAGCAUGAGUUAACCCUCUUAUCACCUGCUGCCAAAUGCGCUCAUGCAUCUUUAGUACAAUGCCAAGCAGAUGCAUUCAGAUUCUUUAUAAGACUGAGGUACCAAACCUGUACUUCACACUGUGAGUGAGCAACAACACAUUGUUGCAUGGAGCAAUAACACAUUACUGCAGGCGGGAUUUGGUGAGAAUCUGUGUAAGAUUGCUUUUGCAGAGGCCACUUGCACAAAAGCCUCUGCUGCAGCAACAUUGUCUUCCAUCUUGAUCUUCUAGAAAUAAAAAAAAAGAAAGGUUUACAAAAUUACUGUGUCUUGCCUGUGAAAGAUGAAUCAUAGUGCUUUUCAAUAGAGCUGCAGGUUGUCAGGGGACCCUCGUCAAGGUUAUUGUUUUGAGCACCUGCAAAAAACACAUUUUUUUAAGGCUUUCUACCACUUAGAAAAGAAAUGAGAAAGGAGAUGAGAACAGACAGAUGAAAACUCGACUUAGCUGACUGCAAGCUUCUGUCACCCGGGGAAAUGUGAAGCAAAUUACACAGCACAAUCCAAACAAUAUGAAAUCGGUU
rnacentral:lncRNA from 7 species